rnacentral:piRNA from 2 species
UACCACUGGGACUGUGGCCUGGCCUGC